CCUGGGAGGCGGAAGUUGCAGUGAGCCAAGAUUGCACCACUGCACUCUAGCCUGGUGACAGAGCAAGACUCCGUUUAACAAACAAACAAAAACACACGUAUGCGACUCAGCUAUAUCUUGUUAAGAUCCAAAAAUAGUGAAAAUCAAUGAAUAAGAAAAGAUAUUUCUAACCAAACAAAAUCUGGCAUACUUAUAUUAGUAUUAUAUAAAGAAAACUUAAAAGCCAAAGGAUGGAAAAAGAUGUUUCUAUGCAAAUGAAAGUUGGUAUACUUACAUUAGCAUCAGACAAAGAAAACUUACACUGGCCACUUGCUUUCCUUACAGUCCAGGUGGCACUAGGAUAAUUUUCUUAACUCCUCAAAACUUCAAUUACUUCAUGUAUAGAAUGGAAAUCAUAGUAUCUAACUGAUUGCAUUGUUGUGAAUCUUAAAUGAGAUGUCAUAUUCAGAAAGCUUUACCCAUAGAUAUUAAUAUACUUGUCACCUUUGCUUUGCUCCCUCCACUCAUAAUGUCCCUAGGACUGAUCUUUCCCUCAUUCAUUACCCUUCUAAGUGAAAGAUUAAAGGACUAAGUAAGACCAAUGUCAUAAUAUAUGCAGAUGCUUGCCCUAUCUCAGGCAUUUACUCAAUUUCCUCGAUGUCCCUGCUCUGGUUAUAGUCUGGGUAACUUAGAUGCCAAGCUUACCAGUCAGAAAAUCUAUAUUAUUCCUUUUUUUAUAUAUAGCCAGUCCUGUUGCUACUGCAUUGUUUUGUGUUCACUGCACACCAGAUCACUAUUAUUAUCAUA
rnacentral:lncRNA from 1 species